rnacentral:rRNA from 1 species
GACGAACGCUGGCGGCGUGCCUAAUACAUGCAAGUCGAGCGGACCAAAGGGAGCUUGCUCCUGGAGGUUAGCGGCGAACGGGUGAGUAACACGUGGGCAACCUGCCUGUAAGACUGGGAUAACAUCGAGAAAUCGGUGCUAAUACCGGAUAAUAAAAAGAACUGCAUGGUUCUUUUUGUAAAGAUGGUUUCGGUCUAUCACUUACAGAUGGGCCGCGGCGCAUUAGCUAGUUGGUGAGGUAACGGCUCACCAAGGCGACGAUGCGUAGCCGACCUGAGAGGGUGAUCGGCCACACUGGGACUGAGACACGGCCCAGACUCCUACGGGAGGCAGCAGUAGGGAAUCUUCCGCAAUGGACGAAAGUCUGACGGAGCAACGCCGCGUGAGUGAUG